rnacentral:rRNA from 1 species
UCGAGAAUCUUCGGCAAUGGGGGAAACCCUGACCGAGCGACGCCGCGUGCGAGGUGAAGGCCUUCGGGUUGUAAAUCGCUGUCAGUGGGGAGGAAAUGCUGGUGGGUUCUCCCAUCGGUUUGACCUAUCCGCAGAGGAAGGACGGGCUAAGUUCGUGCCAGCAGCCGCGGUAAUACGGACCGUCCAAACGUUAUUCGGAAUCACUGGGCUUAAAGGGUGCGUAGGCGGCUCGGAAAGUUGGGUGUGAAAGCCCUCAGCUCAACUGAGGAAUUGCGCUCAAAACUGCCGGGCUCGAGGGAGACAUAGGUGAGCGGAACUUAGGGUGGAGCGGUGAAAUGCGUUGAGAUCCUAGGGAACACCAGUAGCGAAAGCGGCUCACUGGGUCUCUUCUGACGCUGAAGCACGAAAGCCAGGGGAGCGAAGAGGAUUAGAUACCCUCGUAGUCCUGGCCGUAAACGAUGAGCACUGGUUUGGAGGCUCCUCCAUAGGCUUCCAGACGUAGACG